rnacentral:tRNA from 1 species
GGGGCCGUAGCUCAAUUGGUAGAGCAGCCUCCCAUCUAGGGAGUUGCUGAUGGAGGUUCGAGCCCUCCCGGCUCCACCA